rnacentral:lncRNA from 1 species
GAAACCAAGGUGGGGUUACUUUGACUUCCUUUCUCAUUCUCCCUCUUUCUUAAGACUUAUCGCUUACUCCUUCUUUGCUUCAUCCCUGAAAGUCUUCUAGAAAUUAUUCUUCUAUCUGCUCAAAAGCUGUGAUUGCUCCCUUUGUUGGGACUCUGAGCUGCAAACAUGCCAUCUCUGAUUUUGAUCUGCAAGCGGAACGCCAGUGGGGGCAGACACACAAUAGAACGACAACUAAUGUGGGAUGUGGUUUAAACCUGGUCCGUGCUCACAAGAACCUUCUCUUAACUUGGGUAAACAAAUCAGAGCUUACUCUCUGUGCAUCUCCUCAAGAGAAAACAAAUCAAUAAGUCAAUUCCCUUAAAAGGACUGUGUGUACAAAGACUAAUUGGUUGGUAUUAACCUUGCUUGUUGCCUGUUUUUUUUUUUUGGUCAGUAAGCAUGCCGAAACCGAGUUAAUUCUGGAAGCGGAUCCAGUGUGUUGUGCAAAUGCAGCCAUGCUUAAGGAAGAAAGACUGGUGUCCCUUCUCCCACAGACUCCACCACAUAGACAAGACCUCCAUCCAUACUACUGCUUCUCUGAAGUGCUGAUGGCCUCAUUAUACCCCUUCCCCAAAUUCUGCUCCAAAGGAAGUGGCUGGAAUUGCGUCCCAUUGAUGUCAAGCGGCAUGAAGCAACCAUCCCUUCUUUUACAAGAGCCUUUUACAAAGGGUCUUCCCACCCUUUGGUGGAUCACAGCUGGAGCUGAUGCAUCCAGACACAGAACAAACCUCGAAGGCUUUCAGUAAGAGAAUGAACCAACCACAGAAGGGAUCCUUGUUGCUAAAAUAUGGAGCUUCUUCCACGAUACUAUCAGAAAUACUGACAUGAGCUAUAAUUUGGUUGACAAGACUGUUGUGUCAACAAUGACACUUGAUAGUGGAAUGUUUGUACGCACAAUGGCAUGGAGUUUGGAAGAGAAAUUGUUCAAGAAUCUGAAGAAGAUGCUCCUUCUUCAAGUCAACCUUGACACCGACUGAGCUGGAUAGCCAACCACCUCCUUGCUAACAAGAUGGAAGAGUUUGCCUUGGUUUUCUUCUGGAUGUGAUCUUGACCUCCCAGCCUAGUCUCCUUUUAUUUAU